rnacentral:rRNA from 1 species
UACGAAGGGUGCAAACGUUGCUCGGAAUUAUUGGGCGUAAAGCGCACGUAGGCGGCUUAGCAAGUCGGAUGUGAAAUCCCUCGGCUCAACCAAGGAAGUGCAUCCGAAACUGCUGAGCUUGAGUUCUUAAGAGGAUCGCGGAAUUCCCGGUGUAGAGGUGAAAUUCGUAGAUAUCUGGAGGAACACCGGUGGCGAAGGCGGCAUCCUGGACCGGCAUUGACGCUGAGGCGCGAAAGCCAGGGGAGCAAACGGG